CUGGAACGCGCUUCGGCGCACCCAGAAACCCUUUGUGAACUUAUACCUUACUGUUGCCUCGGCGCAGGCCGGCCUCACUGAGGCCCCUCGGAAACGAGGAGCAGCCCGCCGGCGGCCAACCAGACUCUUGUUUCUUAGUGGAUCUCUGAGUAAAGAACAUAAAUGAAUCA
rnacentral:misc_RNA from 1 species